rfam:Klebsiella pneumoniae subsp. pneumoniae MGH 78578, complete sequence.
UUGCAUCUGAGGUCAGUGAGGAUGAGAACCUCCGGGGGCAGGAGGUUCGACUCGAGCGAAGCGAGAGAACGUUGCGUCAGCAACGGCCCGCAGGGCGAGCCACGAAGUGGUGAGUCAUCCUCUAUCACCGACCA